CUACGGGAUGCUCCAGUAAGGAAUAUUGCGCAAUGGAGGCAACUCUGACGCAGCCAUGCCGCGUGCAGGAAGAAGGCCUUAUGGGUCGUAAACUGCUUUUAUUUAGGAAUAAACCCCCGAACGUGUUCGGGGCUGAAGGUACUAAACGAAUAAGCACCGGCUAACUCCGUGCCAGCAGCCGCGGUAAUACGGAGGGUGCAAGCGUUAUCAGGAUUUAUUGGGUUUAAAGGGUGCGCAGGCGGGCUAUUAAGUCAGUGGUGAAAUCCCGGGGCUCAACUCCGGAACUGCCAUUGAUACUGAUAGUCUUGAGUUUGGUUGAAGUGGGCGGAAUGUAGCAUGUAGCGGUGACAUGCAUAGAUACGCUACAGAACACCAAUCGCGAAGGCAGCUCACUAAGCCAAAACUGACGCUCAUGCACGAAAGCGUGGGGAUCAAACAGGAUUAGAUACCCCUGUAGUC
rnacentral:rRNA from 1 species